rnacentral:rRNA from 1 species
AACGAACGCUGGCGGCAUGCCUAACACAUGCAAGUCGAACGAGACCUUCGGGUCUAGUGGCGCACGGGUGCGUAACGCGUGGGAACCUGCCUUAAGGUUCGGAAUAACAGUUAGAAAUGACUGCUAAUACCGGAUAAUGUCUUCGGACCAAAGAUUUAUCGCCUUUAGAUGGGCCCGCGUUGGAUUAGCUAGUUGGUGGGGUAAAGGCCUACCAAGGCGACGAUCCAUAGCUGGUCUGAGAGGAUGAUCAGCCACACUGGGACUGAGACACGGCCCAGACUCCUACGGGAGGCAGCAGUGGGGAAUAUUGGACAAUGGGCGAAAGCCUGAUCCAGCAAUGCCGCGUGAGUGAUGAAGGCCUUAGGGUUGUAAAGCUCUUUUACUGGGGAUGAUAAUGACAGUAC